UAAUUUGAGGGUGAUUUGGCUGCAACAUCUACUACCCUAUUGAUCACCAGCAUUGAUUAGACUGAUCUGGCUGGAUAGGCAGGUGUCCCCUUCGUCCCUCACAAUUCUAUGUGUCUCUUUGGCAUGCUUGGUCUAAGAGGAUAGCCUCAGGCCAAAUAGAGGAGGAGAGCUCUUUAGGCCUGGGACACAACAGUAGCUGCAUUCAUCUCUGGAACUUUCAAACAAGCUCUCAAAACAAAAACCUAGUCUAUAAUGUUUCAGACACCAUGGGACUCUGGACUUUUUAAAACACCAAGAAAAGCUUCAGGACUAGGGAGACUGGCAAAGUAUUU
rfam:Cricetulus griseus cell line CHO-K1, whole genome shotgun sequence.